UUAUUGUGUUUGUGCUUUUUGAACGGCUUUUUUGUAUAAGGUCACAGUAUUGUCCCAUUGCCCACUGCUGACAGGGGCAGUGGAGUCCAGCAGUGGGGAAAGUUUUUAUUAUUCAACAUGCAUUGAAUUCCCAGAGAUCGGCAAUAAGUCUUGGUGGAUUUUGCUUCGUCAACAAAUAGGAAAUUUGCACCGCUAAUCAAAUUAUUCGGUAGCGUUGCGUCAUUGUUCUGUAAGCUGAUGAGCCUGAAUCCCUAAAGGCUGAGUCAUGAAUUGGAAAAGUGCAGAACAAAGCAACUAGGCUUGAUCAAAUUACAAGCAUAGCUCUUAUGAGGAUUAACUACCUGGUUAAAUUAUUAAAUGGACAUCAACUUGUUCUUAACACAAAGGUUCACCUAUUCAUUACUUGUUUCUGUUUUAUAGUUGGCACAAGUCCAGGAUCAGAUCUCCAAAAUUUCCAGGGAUCGUGUCGGUUUUCUUCUGAGUUUAGUGGAAAGUGCUAUGGCCAAUGAUGCUAUUAUCACAAAUGAACAAAAGAUCAAAGACAGACAGGUGAGAAGAGAUGAAAGCUGUGCAUGAAGAGGAAGUUAAGAUGAAGCAGAACCGAUCCAUCAAAGCCCACCCUAAAUAGCCAACAGACAGGGAUGAGCUAUUCCUGUGGCCAUGGCGACCAGACCAAAGUAAUGUCAGGGAAGGAAAAAAUGUCCCUGAAUCAGUCGUGCAACUGUAAAUGUAUUAAUGAGCUUCAUCCAACCUCACGAAGGGUGGUGAUGAAUCUAUAACAUGUCCAUGGAGAAAUGGUUUGAUGAGUUCAUUUAUGAUUUAUAAUCUUCUUACCGAGGUCUUGAUUCACACACUUACAAAUUCUCCGACCCUUUUUUCUCAGAAGCAUAUGAGGAAUCU